UACAGAGGUCUCAAGCGUUGUUCGGAUUCAUUGGGCGUAAAGGGUGCGUAGGCGGCGCGGUAAGUCGGGUGUGAAAUCUUGGAGCUUAACUCCGAAACUGCAUUCGAUACUGCCGUGCUUGAGGACUGGAGAGGAGACUGGAAUUUACGGUGUAGCGGUGAAAUGCGUAGAUAUCGUAAGGAAGACCAGUGGCGAAGGCGGCCUGCUGGGCAGUAGCUGACGCUGAUGCGCGACAGCGUGGGGAGCAAACAGG
rnacentral:rRNA from 1 species